CAAUAGCGUAUAUUAAAGUUGUUGCGGUUAAAAAGCUCGUAGUUGGAUUUCUGCCGAGGACGUCCGGUCCGCCCUCUGGGUGUGUACAUGGUACGGCCUGGGCAUCUUCUUGGAAAACGUAUCUGCACUUGACUGUGUGGUGCGGUAUCCAGGACUUUUACUUUGAGGAAAUUAGAGUGUUUCAAGCAGGCCUACGCCUUGAAUACAUUAGCAUGGAAUAAUAAGAUAGGACCUCGGUUCUAUUUUGUUGGUUUCUAGAGCUGAGGUAAUGAUUAAUAGGGAUAGUUGGGGGCAUUCGUAUUUAACUGUCAGAGGUGAAAUUCUUGGAUUUGUUAAAGACGAACUACUGCGAAAGCAUUUGCCAAGGAUGUUUUCAUUGA
rnacentral:rRNA from 1 species